GCCCGGGUAGCUCAGGGGUAGAGCAGGGGANAAAUCCCCGUGUCGGUGGUUCAAAUCCGCCCCCGGGCACCA
rnacentral:tRNA from 1 species